rnacentral:lncRNA from 1 species
CGUCAAUAGAUUCGACAUACCUCGUGACUAUUUCGUUUGUUUAUCUUCCUGGUUGGAAUAUUUUAUCAAGUUAAAGACAUUUGUGUAACUACAUCAAAUGCAGGUAAAAUUAUCACUGCUUUAUUUCAUUUCAAUGAUAUCUAAAGAAAGGAACAGUAUUAUAUACCAUCUGAGCUCCAUCACGUAUAGUUAUCAUGUUUUAACAAGUAAUUUUGUGACUAGUAUGCACACAUAAUGUGAUAGAUGUUCUCUAAAACACAUCUUUUCUCCGUGCACACUGUGAGAAAAUGUUGUGUCUUGUAUACCAUGUUUCCCCAUCACGUUUAAUGAUACGUCAAGUAUGGUUUAAUAAAUUCUUAUAAAUUGCGUCAACUGGCCUUAGCUACAUCAUGAACAUAUCCAUUUUGAUAAUCUUCAUACUAGUCGUUCAAGGGUUAUCGAACUUUAACCAUCAUUUCAAACCUGCUCAUUUCAAUUUCUUUGUUAGUCAAAGAAGAAUUAUAUUUUAAGAUACCUGGACGAUCCUAUUUAACAAAGGUUAGGAUGACUAUUGUGAACUUAAUGUCCUUUUAACUGAAAGACCCGGUGCAGGUCUUUAAGUUUAGGUUGAAUUUUAAAAACUCACUCACGUUCUCACUAAUGAGACACGCCCAAUAAUGUUCCAUUCGAUCUGAAAACAAAAAAACAAUUGGAAUUCCAAAUCAUUCAAUCUGAAACGCAAAUUAGUGACAAUUAUCUGUUAUACAUAAGAGAAAUGGAACACUGUAUAUAUUAAUUACGUAUUUGCAUAUUGAGAAGAAUUUACUUUUGGCGAAAUUCUCGAGUUUUUAUGUUUAGAAAGAUUCUUGAAAAGUAUUUAUAAUAAUAGUAACAGUUAACAAAACAGCAAGUAAGGCUUGUCAAAACAAUAUCCCCACCUUCUAUUAUUUUCACUUACUUAAUAAGAAUCAGUUUUAUAUGCUACCACAAAAUAUGACUUCUCAGGAAAUAUCAUUAAAUUUGAAAUGUUGCAUUAAAUAAUAGACACGUUUUGAAUGUAAAAGUUAUUUUUUUCAAAUUUUGGAACACUACCAGUUUUCUAGUUAUCAUAUAAAUUACUUGAUACUUUGACUUUGAAAAUAUGGUUCAUUGAUGAGUAUCGUCCUGUGCUUAGCUAAAUCGGAAACAUUGUAUUGCGUGUCGUACUUUAUCUUUACUAGCAAAAUGUCUCAUACAAAUCUUCACAGAUAGUUAUUUCUUUUCAAAAACAUCAUUAAAUAUUGCUAGAAGAUAAAACUUUGGAGAUUUCCUAUUGAUUAUUGUAUUACAGUUUAAAUUCGUUUGUACAAUGAUAACAAAGAGGAUUAAUCUUAUAAGUAGAAGCAUAUUACAGUAUUAUCAUAAGAAACAAAAAACAUUUAUUUUUUAUUAAAAGUAUUUAAAAGCUUCUUAAUAAAGGCAACAGUAGUAUACCGGUGUUCAAAAGUUCUAAAUCGAUUAAGUUAAAACAAAUCUGGUUAACAAUUAAAAACCCAGGGAAACACUCCAACUAUAAGAGGGAAACAAAGUAAAAACAGGAACACUGAAGUGCAACAAAAGCAAACGCAAACAUACAUAGAAAAAAACUUUUUGAUAACAACUGCCAUAUUCCUGACAUGGUACAGGACAUUUAAAGAAACAAUGAUGGAUUGACCUGGUCAUAUGGCUAGCUAGAUAUUCCAUCUUAUGACCAUGUCAAAAUCGAAUGAAUAUGAAAUACCCAUGAUACUAAAAUUAUGUCCUUCGUAAUUUGAUCACUAGUUAAAUAAAGGCAUACAGAUGUUUCUGUUGGAACAAAUAUCCUUCUUUGCGUUAGCAAUACAUGCUGUUGUGUUUUGAAAAUUUUAACGGGAAAUCUAGGCAAUGAAUAGUUUGUAGAAUUAAGAUAACAAAUAUAUUUAAAAAUCUACUAUUGCAUUCCUACCUUAUUAUCUUUUAAAACGGAUGAUCUAUGGUUUUUCAAUCCUUCGCAAUUUGAAUGGCAAAAUUUAUUAUUUUUAACGGUUUACUUAUCUAAAUAGUUCAGCGUGAAUUAUGUCAGAUAUUUGAUGUUUUUACGUAAAGACAGUUGUGUAUUAAGACAGCUAUUUUAACAUUAGUGUUAAAGUAAUAAAUUAUUUACGAAAAUUAGUUUUGGUUUUGAAUUUAACAGUUGUAAUAAAGAUUUUACUUUAUUUUGCUAUUCUCAUUCUAUACCAAAACUAAGCAAUUGAAUAAACGAACAACACAUAUUUGAAACGGCAAAAACAACAACCACUGUUACAGGCUCCUUAUAUGGGGCAGGCAUAAAUAAAAUAUGGCAGGGUUAACAAAGAGACACUGAUUACAGAUAUUAGAGUACUCGCAGUUAUGUUGCUAUAAUAAAAUAUACAAGGCUAAUAGAUUAUCACUUAAAGUGAUUUGUAUUUUCCUUUCAAUGAUUUACAAAUGUAGUAAAGAUAUAUUUUUAACGGUCAAAAUAUAUUUUUUUUCUUGCAGAUGAUGGCAAGCUCUGAACCUUCAUGUGGUGUAUGUGACUUUCAACAUGUCAUAAAAGCUGCCUCCAUAUGGUGCGCUGAUUGUGAUGAGGGCCUUUGUAUAGACUGCAAUAAGCAUCAUGGAAUUUCCAAAGCAACAAGAACGCAUGUAACUAUACCGAUAUCAGAAUAUAAAACAUUGCCGACUUACAUUACAAACAUUAAGCAAAUAUGUAGUACACAUGAUGAAAAGUAUCUGAUUUAUUGCAAUGAACAUGAAUGCCCUUGUUGCAGUAAGUGCAUCGUUGAAAAUCACACAAAAUGUCAAAAUUUAUCAAAUUUUGAUGAUGUUGUCAAAAACACUAAAACUUCAAACGCCUUUCUAGAAAUUCAGGAGACAUUAAAGGAAGUUGCUGAAAACAUCAAACGGAUUCGUCAAGAUAAAAAUGACAAUCUAAAAACUUUGUCCAAGAAAAUAAAACAGAUCGAAUGUGAAAUUCAACAGGUUCGAUUAAAUAUCAAUCGGCAUUUAGAUAAACUACAAGAGGACUUCAUAUUGGAAUUGCAUGAGAUCGAAAAAAGACAGAAUAAACAAUUCAAUCAGUUAAUAAAAGCUUUAGAUGAACAUGGAAGUAAAGUUGUCGAGCACCAAAAGAAUAUAGCACACAUAAAACAACACGCAUCAGAUAUACAGACCUUCCUUGCUCUGAAACAACUGGAAGGUGAUGUUAAUGACAAAUGUCAAUUCAUUGAUUCAAUAACUAAAAGUGGUGUCCUAAAUCGUGUGGAGAUCAAGUUUAACAUUAAUACCUCACUGACAGACAUUGCAAAAAGUUUUAUUGAGUUUGGAAAAGUAUAUAUUGACAACUCCAGUACCUCAAUGAGCAUUGUGAUGAAAAAACAACAACAAGCUCAGGUAGUAUUACCUACAAACUUGCCUAUGUCUAUUGAUAAUAUACAAGUACAUUUGCAACAAACUAUUAAAACCGAACCGAAAUGCAGGGGUUGCUGCAUCUUGCCUGAUGGUAGAAUGGUGUUCACCUAUCCAGAGUUGAACAAAGUAGCUGUAGUUAAACAAGACGGAUCGGUAGAUUUUUAUUUGAGCAUAACAGCAGCAAAUGGUGUAGCGUACAACAGUUAUGAUAACACUUUAUCGAUAUCAUCCUGCUGGGAUAACAUUGGCAAUAAAAUAACAAUAAUUGAUUUAAAACAACGACGGAAAACUAUUUCUCCCGGUGGACAAACCAAUGGCAUAGCGGCAUCAAAUAAUACACUAGUCUAUAACUUAUACAAUAAAUCUGUUAAAGCAAUGAAUAUCAUUGACGAAUCAACAAGUGAUAUACCUACUGAUAACAUGAACACAACAAUCGAUAUAGCAAUAUUUGGUCACAAACUGUAUUAUUCUACUGAAAGUCAUAAUAAAGUUGUAUGUUGCGAUCUGGAUGGAACAAAACAAUGGACUUUUAAAAAUGAAAAGAUUUUAAAGAAUCCAUUGGGAAUAUCUGCUGACAAUGAUGGUAACGUGUAUGUUGCAGGAUAUCAAUCGAACAAUGUUGUAGUUAUCUCACCAGAUGGGCAACAACAUAGAGAAAUCUUAUCUCUCAGAGAUGGCGUUCAAUCACCAACCUCAGUUAACUUUAUGAACGCAACAAAUCAGUUAUUAGUUGCAAAUCAUAAACAUAAUGCACUUCUGUACAAAGUUUCCAGAAAUUGAAUAUAUUCCUUAUGUUAAAUAAAUAAUGAAUCUGUAAUAUGUAUAAUACAAUGAAAACAAUAACAAACAAGUUCGCGCUAUCGCGCGCUAUCGUAAUUUAAAGUAUACAUCUACGUUACGUUAGUACAAGUAAUCUUGAUGUACAGUUCUUAAGAUGCAUAUCAAUUGUACAUCUGUAAAUAGUUAUCAAAGGUACCAGGAUUAUAAUUUAGUACGCCAGACGCGCCUUUCGUCUACAUGAGACUCAUCAGUGACGCUCAUUUUUUUUUUUGGCAUUCAAUAUUUAUAAAGCCAAACAAGUACAAAGUUGAAGAUGCAUAUCAACUGUACACUGUAAA